CGGAGCGUCGUCGGAGUCACGUUCACAUGCACGCUACCUUAUCGCAACAGCGGCCUCGGCGUCAAUCCGCCGACGGAUAAUGAAAUAUCCGGCCGUCUGCCGCUUCCGCCGGCUUCUCCGCACCUUCCACUGCCUCCGCGCACGAAUUACAACCUCCGUGGACAUCGGGCCCAGAUCAGUUUAGUGAGAUGGAACGAGCCGUAUCAGAAACUGGCCACGUGCGACGCAUCCGGCAUCAUCUUCGUCUGGAUCUGUUACGAGAGCAGAUGGUCCAUUGAGCUCAUCAACGAUCGGAAAACUCCGGACUGUGACGGCAACAACGUUAAGUAAUUUCGCUAUUUGAUGCUCUAUUAUUCCGCCAGCACAUUCACAGAAGCAACUACUCGUGGGCAUUGGGCAAAUCCAAAUUAGACAUCAUUCCCUAUGACCAUUGAUCAUCUUUCAUCGCAUUCACAUAUCCUACAGUAUUCUUGUUUGCCACAGCUUUGUCAUUGCAUCAUUCGGCGACAGAUUUUUAAUUAAAUUGCGACAUAUAUGGCACAUGUCCGGCUGUCCAUCUGCUCUUAGUAGCCGGUCUUUUUCUACUCUGGUUCACUUAAAUGGCAUGUCACUCAGGUUGUCCGUCGUUUUGCAACGCAGAAAACGAAACAAGUCAGACGUGCGUAUCUUCGACUCUCUUUCGUAUUGCAUA